rnacentral:rRNA from 1 species
GACGAACGCUGGCGGCGUGCUUAACACAUGCAAGUCGAACGGAAAGGCCCUGCUUUUGUGGGGUGCUCGAGUGGCGAACGGGUGAGUAACACGUGAGUAACCUGCCCUUGACUUUGGGAUAACUUCAGGAAACUGGGGCUAAUACCGGAUAGGAGCUCCUGCUGCAUGGUGGGGGUUGGAAAGUUUCGGCGGUUGGGGAUGGACUCGCGGCUUAUCAGCUUGUUGGUGGGGUAGUGGCUUACCAAGGCUUUGACGGGUAGCCGGCCUGAGAGGGUGACCGGCCACAUUGGGACUGAGAUACUGCCCAGACUCCUACGGGAGGCAGCAGUGGGGAAUAUUGCACAAUGGACGGAAGCCUGAUGCAGCAACGCCGCGUGCGGGAUGACGGCCUUCGGGUUGUAAACCGCUUUCGCCUGUGACGAAGCGUGAGUGACGGUAAUGGGUAAAGAAGCACCGGCUAACUACGUG